AAGAACAACAUGAAACACAAGGCUAAGGAAUAAUUACUUGUAAACCAGUACAGGUCUGGUUAACCGAUGGAUUCAAGUUAUAAGAAAGGUGCUUUAGACUAGAUGUUAGAAAGAACUUCUUGACAGUAGGGGGUAGUUCAACAGUGGAAUUGACUACCUCAGAAGGUGGUAGACUCUCUUUCACCUGAGGCUUUUGGAUACAGGAAGCUUUGACAGUGUUUGUCAUAUAUGAAUGAGGCUGGACUCUGGAGUUCCUUUCCAACAUAGCAUUUCUAUGAUUUCUGGAUGAGCAAAUCUUCCUAUUUCACUUUUCUCCUUUUUUAACAUGGCUAAAUAUUUCUGUUGUAAACAUGAAAAUAACUGUCUACUUUUUCCUUUAUCAGAAAAUGAAAAUCUCACCCAUCCCUGCUGAUAGAAAUAACCUGCAUGAUGCUUAAUGGCAGACACAGUCCUAUUUCAUCAUGAUCCUCUCCAACAAGUUCAGAACAUCAAAUCAAGAUACAAACGUGGUCUCUUAGAGCAAUGCGGUCAGUGAUGACACAUUUACGUACCUAUCCUGCCAUCUCUCACUAGAGAACUUCAUGAAAUGAGUGAGAAUGCUUUCUUUCUUUCUGUCUGAAAGUAGACUAGGAGAAAGAGAAAUCCAUUCAGCAUAUGGCAUUUAUACUUUUUUUUUUUAAAAAAAACCCAACACAUUUAGAUUACAGGACUUCUGAGUCGGCCUCCAUUUGUUAGCACUUCACAUCUGUUGCCUUGAGAUAGCAUCUCUUCCAGUCAAAUAAAAUGGUUAGCACAAGAAGGUAAAAU
rnacentral:lncRNA from 1 species